UAGGGAAUCUUCGGCAAUGGGGGGAACCCUGACCGAGCAACGCCGCGUGAGUGAAGAAGGUUUUCGGAUCGUAAGGCUCUGUUGUUAAGGAAGAACGAGUGUGAGAAUGGAAAGUUCAUACUGUGACGGUACUUAACCAGAAAGGGACGGCUAACUACGUGCCAGCAGCCGCGGUAAUACGUAGGUCCCGAGCGUUGUCCGGAUUUAUUGGGCGUAAAGCGAGCGCAGGCGGUUAGAUAAGUCUGAAGUUAAAGGCAGUGGCUCAACCAUUGUAGGCUUUGGAAACUGUUUAACUUGAGUGCAGAAGGGGGGAGUGGAAUUCCAUGUGUAGCGGUGAAAUGCGUAGAUAUAUGGAGGAACACCGGUGGCGAAAGCGGCUCUCUGGUCUGUAACUGACGCUGAGGCUCGAAAGCGUGGGGAGCGAACAGG
rnacentral:rRNA from 1 species